GGGGAAUAUUGCACAAUGGGCGAAAGCCUGAUGCAGCAACGCCGCGUGAAGGAAGAAGGGUUUCGGCUCGUAAACUUCUAUCAACAGGGACGAAAAAAAUGACGGUACCUGAAUAAGAAGCCCCGGCUAACUACGUGCCAGCAGCCGCGGUAAUACGUAGGGGGCAAGCGUUAUCCGGAAUUACUGGGUGUAAAGGGAGAGUAGGCGGCAUGGUAAGUUAGAUGUGAAAGCCCGAGGCUUAACCUCGGGAUUGCAUUUAAAACUAUCAAGCUAGAGUACAGGAGAGGUAAGUGGAAUUCCUAGUGUAGCGGUGAAAUGCGUAGAUAUUAGGAAGAACACCAGUGGCGAAGGCGACUUACUGGACUGAAACUGACGCUGAGGCUCGAAAGCGUGGGGAGCGAACA
rnacentral:rRNA from 1 species